rnacentral:misc_RNA from 1 species
AACGCACCUUGCGCUCCUUGGUAUUCCGAGGAGCAUGCCUGUUUGAGUGUCAUUUAAUUCUCAACCUCUUCCAGCUUUGUCUGGCUUGGUGGCUUGGAUGUGGGGGGAUUCAUCUUGCGGGCCUCUUUAGAGGUCGGCUCCCCUGAAAUGCAUUAGUGGAACCGUUUGCGGGAACUUGUCACUGGUGUGAUAACUAUCUAUGCCAAAGACAACCGCUCUCUGUAGUUCUGCUUCUAAUUGUCCGUUAUCUCGGACAACGAUUUAUGAACACUUGACCUCAAAUCAGGUAGGAUUACCCGCUGAACUUAA